GAGAUUCCUCAGACGCUGCAGGUAGCCGUAUGACGUCACGUCCGCUAACUUGUUAGCCUAGCAUUGAUGUUGUUUCAGGUGAAAAGGGUUGACGUUCGCAGCUCUUUUGGAGGGAGCCGACUGAAGCGGGGACAGGAAGCAGCAGCGCUCACAGCUGCUGUGAAUACCGCAGCGACUUGUUCACUUUGGAUGAGGGAGCAGAGAGAUAACUGCUGGGAGCUUCGAGCUGGAGCUGGAAGCUUUCACUGAAUGUUGUGACGUUUCUAUCCGCUGCCUGCCACUUUCCCAGCAUAGAAGCUGCAGCCUUUAUCAACAGAUCCUGUGGGAAAGCGGGCUGUCUCUUUGGACGCAGUGCACUGAUUUGGACGACUAACAUUUACCAUAUCCUACAGUGACAUUUAUCUUUUGACCUCCGUUUUCUAUACACCGGUGCUUGAAAUUGCAUUGCGUAUUUAAACAUUUAAGAAAUUGUUGUUGUUUUUAUUAUUAUUAUUUUUAUGAAAUUACCUAAAGUUUUCUAUCUUUUUAUGGGAACAGAAUUCACUUACAAAUGUUAAUCUUCAAAACGAUAUUGCUUUUUCUUAGAGUGACAGUUUGGUACUGUCAUUUCCAGGCUGAUUUAUGAAAUGUUUUAUUCAUCAAACGGUCGUCGUGAGUUUUUAGUCUUUUCAGCCAAGAUUCUUCAAGUCCUUGCGGUGUAAUGAUGAAUGCUUUCUUUAGAAAAUCUCAUAAAGUAAAAAUGAAAAUAAAAUCAGAUAGUACUCAUCUUAUUGACAUCAUCUGUGGCACUGAUUCUUGUUUAAUUACAAAAAGGUUCAUCGGCACUCUUUAGGGAUUAUAAUGCUCUGCAAAAAAAGUAUUCUCAAUUCUCUGUGUGUCACAUUUUUACAUAGCCACAUGUUUCAUUUUAUAGUACAGGGAUUUCAUGUGAUAAUAAUUCCCUGUUUUUAGUUCUAUCCAUUUUCUCUUUUCUCUGGCCAGCAAAAAAAAAAAAGACAAACGCAUAUCCGUUUUUAGAGUAGGGAGGGAGUGUUUAUCACUGUUUUUUUGCCACAUAUACUAUGUUGAAUUAAGACCAAAACAGUAAAACUUAUGUUAGCUAUUAAGUCAUAAUGUUUCCACUUUUACAAAGUGAAUGAAGCAGUGUUUUCUCACACAAUCCAGCUUUAAAUGUCAUUCUCUGAGGCUUUCAGAAAACAAUGAACUACAGGCGAUCUCUAUUCACUGAAUGGUGACUUUUAUUUGUGGUCACAAAGUAAAGGGGAUUACAAAUGUGCAACAUUUUUUCUUUUUUUUUAUCAAAAAUGUUGAAAAUAAUUUUCCAUCUGCUUUGCAAUUAUGUACUACUUUGUAUUGGUCUGUCACAUAAAUGUCCAAUAUAACAUGUUGAAAUUUGUGGGUGGGAUGUGAGAAAUGAU